ACGGGAGGCAGCAGUGGGGAAUAUUGCACAAUGGGCGAAAGCCUGAUGCAGCGACGCCGCGUGAACGAAGAAGUAUUUCGGUAUGUAAAGUUCUAUCAGCAGGGAAGAUAAUGACGGUACCUGACUAAGAAGCACCGGCUAAAUACGUGCCAGCAGCCGCGGUAAUACGUAUGGUGCAAGCGUUAUCCGGAUUUACUGGGUGUAAAGGGAGCGUAGGCGGUAUGCUAAGUCUGAUGUGAAAGCCCGAGGCUCAACCUCGGUACUGCAUUGGAAACUGGUAAACUAGAGUGUCGGAGGGGUAAGUGGAAUUCCUAGUGUAGCGGUGAAAUGCGUAGAUAUUAGGAGGAACACCAGUGGCGAAGGCGGCUUACUGGACGAUAACUGACGCUGAGGCUCGAAAGCGUGGGGAGCAAACAGGAUUAGAUACCCUGGUA
rnacentral:rRNA from 1 species